GAUGAACGCUGGCGGCGUGCUUAACACAUGCAAGUCGAACGGAAAGGCUCCUGCUUGCAGGGGUACUCGAGUGGCGAACGGGUGAGUAACACGUGGGUGAUCUGCCCUGCACUUCGGAAUAAGCCUGGGAAACUGGGUCUAAUACCGGAUAGGACGAUGGUUUGGAUGCCAUUGUGGAAAGUUUUUUCGGUGUGGGAUGAGCUCGCGGCCUAUCAGCUUGUUGGUGGGGUAAUGGCCUACCAAGGCGUCGACGGGUAGCCGGCCUGAGAGGGUGUACGGCCACAUUGGGACUGAGAUACGGCCCAGACUCCUACGGGAGGCAGCAGUGGGGAAUAUUGCACAAUGGGCGCAAGCCUGAUGCAGCGACGCCGCGUGGGGGAUGACGGCCUUCGGGUUGUAAACUCCUUUCGCUAGGGACGAAGCGCAAGUGACGGUACCUGGAGAAGAAGCACCGGCUAACUACGUG
rnacentral:rRNA from 1 species